GACCAUUCCAAUGGCCUAAGAGGUUAGAGUGUCUGCCUCAGAUGCAGAAGGUCAUGGGUUCAAACCCCAGCUGAGUCA